UUUGGAUUUUACUUGCCUAUUUUUAUAUUUUCCGGCUUCCACCACAUAUUAAUUUAUGCUAAAGUUUUCGAGAAAUCAAAUACUGAAGAUUCGUAUCCCGAGCAAGCAUAGAUGAGACGCUUUGUCGUUUCACUUUGUUUUCCCACCCAAACCAGAACAAAAUUUAUUGGCCUUCGAAUAUUUCGGAAAAAACAAACAAUAUUCAUUUAAUGGACUUGUGAAAGAAGGGUGAUAUUAAUCUUUAAUCAUGUCACUUAAUUGAUAUGAUAAAUAUUCAAGUGAAUCAUGUAAAGUGGAAAUCACUGUGAAGUAGAAUGUGUCCUAAGGGAGUUUCGUACCUUUCAACCAUAAAAUCCGGCAAACUAUUAAGGAUUCCAAUGGAUAUAAAGAUGAAGGAGAGUGUGAAUGUGAAGCAAACUUCAAAAGGAAGAAGUGAAAAGAGGACAAAAGAGAGUUAAACAGUGGAAAGCUAAAAGGAAACAGAGAUGACCACUUUCAUCUCGAAGUUUCAAAAGUACACAAAAACAUCAAACAUACCUGAAUAGUUUCACUUGGUCCACUCUCUCCUUAUCUCUCUCUCUUGUCAUUGAGCAUCCUUUUCAAUUUCAUUGUCACUUGUUGUCAUCUUCAUCUACUCCGUGAAUAUUACAACAAGUUGUCGUUUCAUCCAAACAAAUAAAACCGGUCCCAGUUUCAGAAGAUCUUUUGAACUGCCAAGCUUUCUUUUGUCUUGUUCCCCCCUCCAAAUCCUUUUUUCCUCAUACAAAAGAGUCUAUAAAGUCUCCAUUAGUUUAGAACUAGUGACUACUACUGUACAUAUUCUAUGUAAGAUUUGUAGGUUGGGCUAAGGUGGGUUUAGUAAUUUCCUUACACAUAUCCGCGGCUGCAUACAAAACUAUACCAAAUGAAGACGAGUUGGGGCCUAUUAGAAUCUGUCCACAGAAAAACAAUGAAUCCAUCAAUCAGAGUGGAUUUAGCAAGCAAAUAUCAAGCAUAGUUCAAAAGUUCAUGAACUCACCAGGAGUCCAAGACAAAAAGUAAAUAUUCAUUGGGAUGGCUUUCUUGAAUUAAGCCCAACUCUACAUGUCAUUGGCAUCAACCUGGGUAUAAGAAAAAGAAAUGACAUGUAUACUUGUUUGUUGAAGAACUUUUAAGCACAUAAAGGCAAUAGACUGAGAGAACAGGAAAAAAAAAGUUAAAGAAGAUUAUGCAUGAUAGGGAAUAGAGAUUGGUGUAUUGAAGGAGAAAGCAGCCCAAAAAAAGGUUGAUGUGAAGUGAAAGUUGCUCCUACAAAGGGAUAAACACAGGUAUUAAUUGGUGGAGUUCCAAUCAGCUUCAAGUGUUUUGUUGUGUCUUUGUGUGUGUGUGUGUGUGGUGUGUCAGCAAACAAGACCUACCCAUCUCUCUUUCUCUAUCUCUCUCAUCUUCUUACUACUUUUCUCCACUUAUUACAAACUCCAAAAGCAUUUGUACUGAGUCUAUACUUUCCUUAUAUAGCAUCAACUUCUGCUCCCACUUCUGUGAAAAAACUAGACUUUUAUGCUUCUUUUUUUCUUAGGCUAUAUAGCUAUUAAUCCAUAAGGUGAGAGAGAGAGACAAUUGAAGUGAACAAAACCAUCACCUGGAAAAUUAUAUACCCUCUUUGCCCCUCAUGGAUUCUUCCAGCGGAAAACCAAGAUCAUCUGAUUCCUCAUGCAUCAUUUCUGCAUCCACCAGUCUUCAAUUUUCAGAUUCCCCAAAGCUGAGCCUAGAAAAUUACAACAUAGACACAGUAGCAGCACAAGAAGAAGAUGAUCAUGACCAAAAAGAAGGAGUGGAAGGUAUAAAGCUUGACCUUAUGCUAGCAGGAUAUGAUUCUAGUCAACCACAGCUCAAUCAAGAACUCAAUCUCCUCGACUGCUUAGAGACAGGUGUAGUCACUCC
rnacentral:lncRNA from 1 species